rnacentral:lncRNA from 1 species
CUUAUUUAUAUCGAAACCAACUUUAAUCCCAUGCCUUAGUUCUUAUAUAUCAUAAAUAAUUUUCACAAUUCUCUCUGUGUUCAUCCAUGGCUUUCACCGACACCACAAAGCAAAACGGUUUCGACAAAGAAAUCAAAGAACUCAUCUCUUCUCUCACAAGUUGCGCAUCGAGUAUUCCGAAAAAUGGGGGCGAUUCAAUUCAGCAUAAUACUCAGGAUUAUGAUGGACUCAGCAUGAUCACUUUGGCCGGAACCAACGUGGGAGCCAACAUGCACGGGGAGAUGGACGAGAAACCUAACGGCCCACAAGGUUAAUUAUU